rnacentral:rRNA from 1 species
UACGUAGGGUCCGAGCGUUGUCCGGAAUUACUGGGCGUAAAGAGCUCGUAGGUGGUUUGUCGCGUUGUUCGUGAAAACUCACAGCUCAACUGUGGGCGUGCGGGCGAUACGGGCAGACUGGAGUACUGCAGGGGAGACUGGAAUUCCUGGUGUAGCGGUGGAAUGCGCAGAUAUCAGGAGGAACACCGGUGGCGAAGGCGGCUCACUGGGGGUUAUCUGACGCUGAGGAACGAAAGCCAGGGGAGCAAACGGG